GCCCGGAGUUCUGCGGGAGAAAGAACGUGGUGGGGAGACGCCCUCCCAGUCUUGCUACCUACGCGAGAAGAGGGUCUGUCUCCGCACUGCUCUGAUCAAUAAAAAAGAAAUGUCACUGCAGCCACAUCACCAGAAGACUUUGAUGGGGCUUGGGGGUCUCCUCCCAAGAUGGCUUGCUAUUGGCAGGAGUCUCAGUUCCUCACCACGGUGGCUGGCUUCCCUCAGAGGAGUUCCUGGUGGCCUUUGGCUGGAAGACAUUGACAGAAAUGGAGAUAACCAAGACUAAGUGGAAGCCCUCACUAUCUCAAAUGAGGGAACCUUGAAUCAGUAAUAGUGAGUGCAUCUGAGGCCCAUGUGUCUCUAUCUGCUUGAAGUGUCACCGUGUCUAUGCCCAGAAG